GGUGGGGUGAUGGCCUACCAAGGCGUCGACGGGUAGCCGGCCUGAGAGGGCGACCGGCCACAUUGGGACUGAGAUACGGCCCAAACUCCUACGGGAGGCAGCAGUGGGGAAUAUUGCACAAUGGGCGGAAGCCUGAUGCAGCAACGCCGCGUGCGGGAUGACGGCCUUCGGGUUGUAAACCGCUUUCAGCAGGGACGAAGCGUGAGUGACGGUACCUGCAGAAGAAGCACCGGCUAACUACGUGCCAGCAGCCGCGGUGAUACGUAGGGUGCGAGCGUUGUC
rnacentral:rRNA from 1 species